CUUGAUGGAGUUGACUCUUGACCAAUAACAGUUAAAAACUCUACAAUAUAAGAUAGUGGAAGUCUUACUAGGUUCAAGGCAUUGAGGAAACAAGAGGGAUCUAUAUGGUAGUGAGCCAGGACAGCCUCAAGAGACCUGGAUUUGAGUUCUGAUACUGCUGAUGACCUGCAUUAUAGAUACGAAAUUUAAAGAUGAAGGACAAGGCAUUGCCAAGCACAGUGGAACAGAAGAUUUGCUCUCGUGUGUGAGGGACGGUCAGGAAGAACAAGCUCUUCUCACAGUUUCUGUGAUACUGGCUCAUUGUGGCUUCUGUGAAUACGGGGGAAAUUCCUGGCAUAUUCCUGGACCAAGACAUUUGAAGGCCCCUCAGUGACUGAAAAUGGGACUGAACCUUUCUUGAAAGUACAUGAACUGUGAAUCUGAGAGUAAAAUUUACUUUUCACUAUGGGAAAAAAAAUAGUGCUGUCUUGGCUUUCUGCAUGUUUUUUUCUUUAGGGCAAUGUAUCACAUGCAUUUUUGUCUUUACACAGUAAAAGCAUGGAGUGAUAGUGUCUGACAUGGAGCUGUUGUUCCUUCAAGUUUUCCUUAUUUUGGAGUUCCUGCUUUAUUGAGGAAGCUGUACCAAUCAGGGCACCCCUUCUAAUGUUAGACCAUGAAAAAGAAAGAAAGAGGAGUGCAUCAAGUGUUUUGGGACUGAGGCCUCUAGGGAAGAAGUAUUAACUUUAUUUUGCCAAUCUUCUAUUGUAGCAUUGACUUUGUCUCUUUAACUUCAGAAUAUUCUUUGCUGUACUCCAAGGAGAGAAACCUGUGUGACAGAAAUUAAGAAAACAAUAGAAUAAUGGAUAAACAGUCUAAAACUUUUGGUUUUAGAACAUCAUGUCUUAUUUAAUCUCCCGUCUAACCAUCUUCUCUCUAUCUCUUUCUCUUUGCAUGUCAGAUAAACUCUUGGAGUCACAUAUGUCAUCAGUCACACAUUUUGGGGUGUUAAUCUCCUAGGAGAAGGAGGUCAAAUAUGUAAGGUAUAAUACAUUUAUCAAUAUAAUGGUUGGCUGGUGAAGUUCAACUAAUUAAUAAAAGCAUUAAAACUAGAAUCA
rnacentral:lncRNA from 1 species